UACGUAGGGUGCAAGCGUUAAUCGGAAUUACUGGGCGUAAAGCGUGCGUAGGCGGUUUUGUAAGUCAGAUGUGAAAUCCCCGGGCUUAACCUGGGAACUGCGUUUGAAACUACAAGGCUAGAGUGUGGCAGAGGGGGGUGGAAUUCCACGUGUAGCAGUGAAAUGCGUAGAGAUGUGGAGGAACACCGAUGGCGAAGGCAGCCCCCUGGGUUAACACUGACGCUCAGGCACGAAAGCGUGGGGAGCAAACAGG
rnacentral:rRNA from 1 species